rnacentral:lncRNA from 1 species
GUUUGUCCCGCGUACCCGGCAUGGGGUCUUGAGCUCCGUAAGGGAGGAAUCAGCCUCCAGCUGCAGCAGGGUGUGCUUGCAAGUGCUUGCUUGUGUGUGGCAGGGCAGCAAUAAUCCUGCUCUGUUCUUUCCAUGUAAAUGCAAAGAAAUAUACUUUGCUGUUUCUACGUGGCGAUUUUAAAUUGUGCAGGGUCACAAGGCAGUGAAAGGCAGUGUAUGCAUGCCCAGGCAUUAAUGAAGAGUCUAGUCCAUUGUAUUUUAUUGAAAGCCCAAGCGAAGUUUCGCCUUGUUAAGGCUUUGUUUUUCUUUGCAUCCGCGUUCUAUUUACCCGUCCCAGCAAUGGUGUCAGUGCUGGUCCCCACGGUUGCUGACUGUGGGGAGAUGCUUGGCUGGCCUUGGGGAGCAGGGAGAGGCGUAUCUCAGCCUGAAGGAGUUUGAAAGCUAAGGUAAAUAUUUCUGGAUGAAGAGAAGAAGGAUGAAACCUCCAGAGACUCUGACACCAAGAUUAAUGGCUGAAAAAAAAAAUUGCCUUCCCCAGAUGAUGCAGGACACUGACUCUCCCCUUCAUUGUCUUCAUUACUCUGCUGAGUGAAGUAGAAGUAACUGAAAUUUCUCUUCUCUCACUUCUUUUUUUUUUUCUUUUUUUUCCCCUAACUAAACAGGCUUUUGAAUAAUAUAGAAGCAUAUUUACCAAUAAGAUCAUUUUUUGUAAUUUAUCAAGGGAUCUUUUAUGAGGAAAUUCCCAAACUGGAAAUCACAUUCAGUCCCCUUCUCAGGUUCUGGCCUCCCCCUCAGGAAUUUUGAUUUUAAUCUGGGCCAAGUGCACAUAAAUGAGAGAAAGAAUAAGUAAGGCUUGGAAAAUGAGACAUUGAAAAGAUAUAAAAAAGCACCAAACUGAGCAAAACUGAAACACGCUCCUUGGACAAACUGCAACCCUGCGACAUGGUAAAACUGCAGGGCUUCAACCCAGUGUCUUCAACCCAGGCUGGUUACGUUUUGGGCUUGGGGGCGGCAGUGAAGAUUAUUUUCUGUAUGUAUAUCUUUCUUUCUACUCUCUUCUGUUUUUUCUUUAUGGCAUAAGCAAAUAGCACUUGUUUGUUUGCUGCCAAGCUAUUGUAAUUUGUCUCUCAGAAUUGGAAAGUUACCAGAAAUUUGUGUGCAAAAA